AUCAAGUGAGAGUUCAAGUAGCACUCACCAAUUUCUAUUGCACAGCUAUUUUAAACUUGCUUAUUGUGGUGUUUGCUCGAAAGCGUUGUGGGGAAUUUCUAAGCAAGGCUUGAAGUGUCAAGUUUGUGGACUUGAUGUUCACGAAAGUUGCCAGCAGUCCGCUCCAGAGUGUUUGGGUUUGGACACGAUUGUUUGUUCUUUUUCAGAAACCGAUGAUGAUCUUGAUGAAGUUGAAAUAAAAUUUACGCUUGUCCGUGGAAACAAUCUCGCUAAAAAGUAUCCUUUGCAUACACCUGAUCCAUUUGCAGAAAUCAUUAUCAAUGAUGAAUGUUACUGGUCUACCAUUCAGAAG